UGGGGAAUCUUGCACAGUGGGGGCAACCCUGAUGCAGCGACGCCGCGUGAGCGAUGAAGCCCUUCGGGGCGUAAAGCUCUUUCGACCGGAACGAUAAUGCCGGUACCGGGAGAAGAAGCUGCGGCUAACUACGUGCCAGCAGCCGCGGUAAUACGUAGGCAGCAAGCGUUAUCCGGGUUCAUUGGGUUUAAAGGGUGCGUAGGCGGGAUAGCAAGUCAGUGGUGAAAUCCCGUGGCUUAACCACGGAAUUGCCAUUGAUACUGCUGUUCUUGAGGACGCUCGACGUGGGCGGAGUGUGCCGUGUAGCGGUGAAAUGCUUAGAUAUGGCACAGAACACCGAUAGUGAAGACAGCUCACGAGGGCGAAACUGACGCUGAGGCACGAAA
rnacentral:rRNA from 1 species